rfam:Populus trichocarpa scaffold_15_contig_59, whole genome shotgun sequence.
UAUAGAACUCAAGAUAUGGGCUGAACAUUGAACAGUGUCUGGGCUGCAAGACAGAUUCAUACUUCUUCGUUGUUGCUACAAUUUGGACUUGAAAACGACCUUUUUAAAUCUUGGACUCCUCAUGAAAGUUUUAGGCCUAUGUCCCGUUUGACUCGAUA